GUAGUCAUGGCCGAGUGGUUAAGGCGAUGGAUUAGAAAUCCAUGGGGGAUUUCCCCAUGUCGGUUCGAAUCCUGCUGACUACG